CAAAUAACGUUCUUUGGGUAUCGGUAGAAGCUAUAUAGUGGAAUUAUUUGCUAUUUUCUUGCAAUUUACUGCCGAUUAUUUUUAGCUGUUUGAACGCGUCGAGAUCAUGAGCAGACGCACGCUUGUCGCGACAGCCCAUCGGAAGCAGUAAUAGUUCUGGAGACUGUAGUCGCAUUAUCUUACAUACGUAUGAUGCGUGAGUGUGUCAUAUAUACGUAUGUUUGUGCUUGUGCUGUCGAGCGCUUUUAAUUGUAUACAACAUUUUUAUAUGAGUAGCUGGUGAUUCAAGAUCUAUUUUUUGACCUAUAUAAGAGAGAGAUUUGCAGAAGAAAAGAAAUAUACCAAAGUAUUAAGGA